GGUUCGGUGGUGUAGUUGGUUCAUCACAACAGUCUAACACACUGUAGGUCCUCGGUUCGAGCCCGGGCCGAAUCA
rnacentral:tRNA from 5 species